rnacentral:lncRNA from 1 species
AGAAAGAGAAGUGAAAAUAAUUCAUAUAGCAUUAUCUCAUUUGAAUCUAUCAUUAUAUGUAUAUCAACAUUUUUUGUUAAAUACUCAAAAUAAGAUAUUUUGUGAGAUAUUAGUAGAUUCGUGGUAUCACGACUUCAUGAAGAUUUAGAUAUUAAUGAAAAGAUCACCGACGACGACAUAAACACCGACGAGGAGUUUGACUGUAGGCCCGUCCGAACCAGGCGUAACAAACUGGACAAUAAUUACAUCUAUUAUUAAAUCUAAUUCUAUUGCAAUUAAUUAGAGUUGUUAUGAAUUGGUGGCCAUGGAAAUAGAAAAGACACCCAUUUUUGGGUAUCCAAUUUAUCGAACAAUCAAAAUCCUUCUCGUCUCUGGCUUCCUCGAGAGAAUUCAUGUCCAACCUCCGACUCCCAUUGGGAGAAUACCCUCUGUCGUGUGUUUCUCCUGAAUCACUUACAACUCUUAAGGAAUUGAUCAAUUUAAGGAAUCACUUCACCUGGGAAGAAGUGUGUCUCUGGUCCAGCGAUUAGUGAAUCACGGAUACCUAGAGACGAGCGCAGCGAGGAUAUACCUCUGAUAUCAAGACUCAGUCCGUUACAGAGGAUAGUUGUGAAGCUGUCUGUUCGGAAACUUGAUGCGACUGGAUGAAUGACGAGUGCGAAAGCGACGGUGGAUGAAUUCUUAUCUACUGUCGGAGGAGAUGGAGGUGGUUGAUAAAAAAAAUAAAACUGUUUUAGAAAAGAUUGGUUGCUUUUUUCAUUCACUCAUAAAAUGCUUAAAUAGAUCAAAGUUAGUAACCGUUGGAAGUUACUUCCAU